rnacentral:rRNA from 1 species
UGGGGAAUAUUGCACAAUGGGCGAAAGCCUGAUGCAGCAACGCCGCGUGAGUGAUGAAGGUCUUCGGAUUGUAAAGCUCUGUCUUUUGGGACGAUAAUGACGGUACCAAAGGAGGAAGCCACGGCUAACUACGUGCCAGCAGCCGCGGUAAUACGUAGGUGGCGAGCGUUGUCCGGAUUUACUGGGCGUAAAGGGUGCGUAGGCGGAUGUUUAAGUGAGAUGUGAAAUACCCGGGCUUAACUUGGGUGCUGCAUUUCAAACUGGAUAUCUAGAGUGCAGGAGAGGAGAAUGGAAUUCCUAGUGUAGCGGUGAAAUGCGUAGAGAUUAGGAAGAACACCAGUGGCGAAGGCGAUUCUCUGGACUGUAACUGACGCUGAGGCACGAAAGCGUGGGUAGCAAACAGGAUUAGAUACCCUGGUAGUCCACGCCGUAAACGAUGAGUACUAGGUGUAGGAGGUAUCGACCCCUUCUGUGCCGCAGUAAACACAUUAAGUACUCCGCCUGGGAAGUACGAUCGCAAGAUUAAAACUCUAAAGUG